CACGCCUACAUGAAAUAUAUUAUUAUGCUACUAGAACUGUAAAACGGUAUCUCGGUUCGAGGUGGAGUAGACGGUUCCAGACGAAGUUGAGAGUCUUGUUUACUACAUCGAGAACCAAGAUACCGGUUUCGAGUUCUAGUAGCAGAAAUAGUUUUAUAUAUCGAGCGUAUGAAAGUUCGCUUGUUUGUAAA